GAUGAAGAACGUAGUGAAAUGCGAUAAGUAAUGUGAAUUGCAGAAUUCCGUGAAUCAUCGAAUCUUUGAACGCACAUUGCGCCCCCUGGCAUUCCGGGGGGCAUGCCUGUCCGAGCGUCAUUUCUGCCCUCAAGCACGGCUUGUGUGUUGGGUGUGGUCCCCCCGGGGACCUGCCCGAAAGGCAGCGGCGACGUCCGUCUGGUCCUCGAGCGUAUGGGGCUCUGUCACUCGCUCGGGAAGGACCUGCGGGGGUUGGUCACCACCAUGUUUUACCACGGUUGACCUCGGAUCAGGUAGGAGUUACCCGCUGAACUUAAGCAUAUCAAUAAGCGGAGGA
rnacentral:misc_RNA from 1 species